ACGAUCGCUGGCGGCGUGCCUAAUGCAUGCAAGUCGCACGCACGGCUCUUCGGAGGCCGUGAGUGGCGCACGGCUGAGGAACACGUGGAUACCUGCCCACUCGUGGGGGGGAUAACGCGGCGAAAAGCCACGCUAAUCCCGCAUACGCUUCGGCUUUGGCCGAAGGGAAAAGCGGCAAACGCGCGGGCGGGAGGGGUCUGCGGCCCAUCAGGUGGUUUGGCGGGGGGGUAACGGCCCCACCAAGCCGAUGACGGGUAGCUGGUCUGUGAGGACAACCAGCCAGACUGGGACUGAGACACGGCCCAGACUCCUACGGGAGGCAGCAGCAAGGAAUUUUCCCCAAAUGGGCGCAAGCCCUGAGGGAGCAACGCCGCGUGGAGGACGACGGCCUUCGGGUUUGUAAACUCCUUUUGGGGGGGACGAAUGGGACGGUACCCCCCGAAUAAGCCCCGGCUAACUCUGUGCCAGCAGCCGCGGUAAGACAGAGGGGGCAAGCGUUUGUCCGGACUAACUGGGGCGUAAAAGCGCGCCGCAGGCAGUCGGAGGCGUCGGUGCUGAAAGUGCGCCCGCUUAACGGCGCGAUGCGUGCCGAUACGCUUUCGACUGGAGGGUGGGGCGAGGGUGGUGGAAUUGCCGGUGUAGUGGUGAAAUGCGUAGAGAUCGGCAAGGAACACCCAGUGGCGUAAGCGGCCACCUAGCCCAUACCUGACGGCUCAAAGCGCGACAGCGUGGGGAGCGAACUGGAUUAGAUACCCAGGUAGUCCACGCCCGUAAACGAUUGGCCGACUCGGUCUCCGUGGGGCAAACCGCUCUGGGGGGGCCCGAGCUUACGCGCUAAGUCGGCCGCCUGGGGACUACGAGCGCAAGCUUAAAACUCAAAGGAAUUGACGGGGGGCCCGCACAAGCAGCGGAGCGUGUGGUUUUAAUUCGACGCAAACGCGCACAAACCUUACCCAGACUUGACAUGCCUUACUGCACGGUGGGGAAAACCCACUCGCCUUCGAGGGUGUAGCAACAGAUGCUGCAUGGCUGUCGUCAGCUUCGUUGUCGUGAGAUGUUGGGUUAAGUCCCCGCAACGAGCGCAACCCCCCGCGGCCAGUUACUCGUGUCUGGCCGGACCCGCCCUUCGGGGAGGAAGGCGGGGAUGACGUCAAGUCCGCAUUGGCUCUUACGUCUGGGGCGACACACACGCUACAAUGGGCGCCGACAGUUGCGCAGCGACCUUGCAAAAGGAAGCGAAUCGCCAAACGGCGCCCCAGUGCAGAUCGGGGGCUGCAACUCGCCCCCCGUGAAGGCGGAGUUGCUAGUAACCGCGUAUCAGCCUUUGGCGCGGUGAAUACGUACCCGGGCCUUGUACACACCCGCCCGUCACGUCAUGGGAGUUGCCAAGGGCCUGAAGUCCGUGGGCUGACCCGAAGCAAUUCGGGGGGCAGCGGCCCGAGGGCCGGGGGAGCG
rnacentral:rRNA from 1 species